rnacentral:rRNA from 1 species
UACGUAGGUGGCAAGCGUUGUCCGGAAUUAUUGGGCGUAAAGCGCGCGCAGGUGGUUUAAUAAGUCUGAUGUAAAAGCCCAGGGCUCAACCGUGGAAGUGCAUUGGAAACUGUUAAACUUGAGUGCUGGAGAGAAAAGUGGAAUUCCAAGUGUAGCGGUGAAAUGCGUAGAGAUUGGGAGGAACACCGGUGGCGAAGGCGGCCUUCUGGACUGAAACUGACGCUGAGGCGCGAAAGCGUGGGGAGCAAACAGG